rnacentral:piRNA from 1 species
GAAAUGAAAGGAGCCACUGCCC